GAUAAGAACGUAGCGAAAUGCGAUAAGUAGUGUGAAUUGCAGAAUUCAGUGAAUCAUCGAAUCUUUGAACGCACAUGGCGCCUUCCAGUAUCCUGGGAGGCAUGCCUGUCCGAGCGUCGUUUCAACCCUCGAGCCCCCGUGGCCCGGCGUUGGGGAUCUGCCCAGGCAGUCCCCGAAAACCAGUGGCGGACCCGUUACAGGCCCUUCCCUUGCGUAGUAGCAUUCGCCUCGCAUCGGGAGCCGGCGGGCUUCCAGCCUCUAAACCCCCAUCAAGUCCGCCCCGGCGGCACCAAGGUUGACCUCGGAUCAGGUAGGAAUACCCGCUGAACUUAAGCAUAUCAAUAAGCGGAGGA
rnacentral:misc_RNA from 1 species